rnacentral:rRNA from 1 species
UCGGAAGAGGAUGGGCAUGCGGCGCAUUAGCUUGACGGCGGGGUAACGGCCCACCGUGGCGACGAUGCGUAGGGGUUCUGAGAGGAAGGUCCCCCACACUGGUACUGAGACACGGACCAGACUCCUACGGGAGGCAGCAGUGAGGAAUAUUGGUCAAUGGGAGAGAUCCUGAACCAGCCAAGCCGCGUGAGGGAAGACGGCCCUAUGGGUUGUAAACCUCUUUUGUCGGAGAACAAAACCCGGGACGUGUCCCGGACUGCGUGUAUCCGAAGAAAAAGCAUCGGCUAACUCCGUGCCAGCAGCCGCGGUAAUACGGAGGAUGCGAGCGUUAUCCGGAUUUAUUGGGUUUAAAGGGUGCGUAGGCGGUCUGUUAAGUCAGCGGUAAAAUUGCGGGGCUCAACCCCGUCGAGCCGUUGAAACUGGCAGACUUGAGUUGGCGAGAAGUACGCGGAAUGCGCGGUGUAGCGGUGAAAUGCAUAGAUAUCGCGCAGAACUCCGAUUGCGAAGGCAGCGUACCGGCGCCAGACUGACGCUGAGGCACGAAAGCGUGGGGAUCGAACAGGAUUAGAUACCCUGGUAGUCCACGCAGUAAACGAUGAAUGCUGGUUGUCCGGGUCGAAUGAGACCUGG